AUUGAACGCUGGCGGCAUGCCUUACACAUGCAAGUCGAACGGCAGCACGGGAGCAAUCCUGGUGGCGAGUGGCGAACGGGUGAGUAAUAUAUCGGAACGUGCCCAGUCGUGGGGAUAACGUAGCGAAAGCUACGCUAAUACCGCAUACGAUCUAUGGAUGAAAGCGGGGGAUCGCAAGACCUCGCGCGAUUGGAGCGGCCGAUAUCAGAUUAGGUAGUUGGUGAGGUAAAGGCUCACCAAGCCGACGAUCUGUAGCUGGUCUGAGAGGACGACCAGCCACACUGGGACUGAGACACGGCCCAGACUCCUACGGGAGGCAGCAGUGGGGAAUUUUGGACAAUGGACGCAAGUCUGAUCCAGCCAUUCCGCGUGCAGGAUGAAGGCCCUCGGGUUGUAAACUGCUUUUGUUACGGACGAAAAGGUUUCUCUUAAUACGAGGAGCUCAUGACGGUACCGUAAGAAUAAGCACCGGCUAACUACGUG
rnacentral:rRNA from 1 species